UAAUUCUAGAAAUCUGUUCCGGAGAGGGUUUAAAGCUCCAAUUAGAUCUUUUUCCCUGAGGAUUUAUUUCGACCAUGAAGAGUGCACUAGGGCUAGUGUAGAAUGUUCCAUCAAUCAAAAUUAAUGAA